GAUGAACGCUGGCGGCGUGCCUAAUACAUGCAAGUCGAGCGAACAGAUGAGGAGCUUGCUCCUCUGACGUUAGCGGCGGACGGGUGAGUAACACGUGGAUAACCUACUUAUAAGACUGGGAUAACUUCGGGAAACCGGAGCUAAUACCGGAUAAUAUAUUGAACCGCAUGGUUCAAUAGUGAAAGACGGUUUUGCUGUCUCUUAUAGAUGGAUCCGCGCCGCAUUAGCUAGUUGGUAAGGUAACGGCUUACCAAGGCAACGAUGCGUAGCCGACCUGAGAGGGUGGUCGGCCACACUGGAACUGGGACACGGUCCAGACUCCUGCGGGAGGCAGCAGUAGGGAAUCUUCCGCAAUGGGCGAAAGCCUGACGGAGCAACGCCGCGUGAGUGAUGGAGGUCUUCGGAUCGUAAAACUCUGUUAUUAGGGAAGAACAAAUGUGUAAGUAACUAUGCACGUCUUGACGGUACCUAAUCAGAAAGCCACGGCUAACUACGUG
rnacentral:rRNA from 1 species